CCUACGGGAGGCAGCAGUGAGGAAUAUUGGUCAAUGGACGCAAGUCUGAACCAGCCAUGCCGCGUGCAGGAAGACGGCUCUAUGAGUUGUAAACUGCUUUUGUACGAGGGUAAACGCAGAUACGUGUAUCUGUUUGAAAGUAUCGUAUGCAUAAGGAUCGGCUAAUUCCGUGCCAGCAGCCGCGGUAAUACGGAGGAUUCAAGCGUUAUCCGGAUUUAUUGGGGUUAAAGGGUGGGUAGGCGGUCGGAUAAGUUAGAGGUGAAAUCCCGGGGCUCAACUUCGGAAUUGCCUCUGAUACUGUGCGGCUAGAGAGUGGUUGCGGUAGGCGGAAUUCAUGGUGUAGCGGUGAAAUGCUUAGAGAUCAUACAGAACACCGAUCGCGAAGGCAGCUUACCAAGCUACUACUGACGUUGAGGCACGAAAGCGUGGGGAGCAAACAGGAUUAGAUACCCGGGUAGUC
rnacentral:rRNA from 1 species